rnacentral:misc_RNA from 1 species
UUAAAUAAUUUGAUAUUUAGACUCAGACGACGUAGUUAUAAAGAGUUUAAAAGGCUACUGGCGGGCACAGGCCAGGAGUAAUAAAGCCCCCGGCGGCCCCAAAGGGCGGGCCCGCCAAAGCAACAUGGUAUAGUAGACACAGGGUUGGAGGUCGGGCCGUGAAGACCCUAACUCGGUAAUGAUCCUUCCGCAGGUUCACCUACGGAAA